rnacentral:rRNA from 1 species
ACGUAGGGUGCAAGCGUUAAUCGGAAUUACUGGGCGUAAAGCGUGCGCAGGCGGUUCGGAAAGAAGGAUGUGAAAUCCCAGGGCUCAACCUUGGAACUGCAUUCUUAACUACCGAACUAGAGGAUGUCAGAGGGGGGUAGAAUUCCGCGUGUAGCAGUGAAAUGCGUAGAUAUGCGGAGGAAUACCGAUAGCGAAGGCAGCCCCCCAGGAUAAUACUGACGCUCAUGCCCGAAGGCGUGGGUAGCAAACAG